UUGAGCUAUAUGCGGGGAAACUCGCACGUACAGUUCUUAGGGGUCCCUUUCUCCGCAACCAGAGGAGGGCUAUCUUAC
rnacentral:ncRNA from 1 species